GUCGACAGCAUGCAGGGCUUAAUUACAUCCUAACCAUGUUACCAUUUCUCAGAACACUAAGUAUUCUUAAUUACUUCCUUCUUUUAUGAGAUUUAGAAUUCUCAGCUUCUUCUCCAGCACCGUGUCUCCUGCCUGCACGUCACCCUGCCUCUUGCCAUGACGACAAUGGACUAAACCUCUGAACUAUGGGAGCAAACACAGACACGAUGCAGAUAAUGAGAGACCUUGGAACACUCAGCCCUAAAUGGGAUGUCUCCACCAAAUCCCUCCCCGCAGAACUCAGGGAGCCUGCAGAAGAAGAGGUAGAAAGAGCGUAAGAGUCAGAGGGGAUGGAGGACACCAUGGAAACAAGUUUCUCUAAACCAACAUGAACAAAACUCAUGAGAUCCCAGAGACUAAAGCGGUGCACAGAUGGCCUAUUCGGUUCUGCACUGGGUCCUCUGCAUAUGUUGU